rnacentral:misc_RNA from 1 species
GUGAAUCAUCGAAUUUUUGAACGCAAAUUGCACUCUCUGGGAUGCCGGAGAGUAUGUCUGGUUGAGGGUCUGAUUAAAUAAAAAUCGGUGUGGUUGCUGCCUGUCGUGGUGACGCACCGGAUCUGGGUCGUUUUGCCUUCGGUUAAGUGACUUAAAAUUUUUUAUUAUUUUUUUCGAACGUUCUUAAAUGUAUUUAUGUACGUUUUCGAGAUCUAGUUCUAUG